rnacentral:rRNA from 1 species
UACAGAGGUCUCAAGCGUUGUUCGGAUUCAUUGGGCGUAAAGGGUGCGUAGGCGGCGGCGUAAGUCGGGUGUGAAAUCCCAGGGCUCAACCCUGGAACUGCAUUCGAUACUGCGUCGCUGGAGGACUGGAGAGGAGACUGGAAUUCACGGUGUAGCAGUGAAAUGCGUAGAUAUCGUGAGGAAGGCCAGUGGCGAAGGCGAGUCUCUGGACAGUUCCUGACGCUGAGGCACGAAGGCCAGGGGGAGCAAACGGG